rnacentral:rRNA from 1 species
GUUGUAUAGUCAAGUAAUGAAGUGCACAUGGUGGAUGCCUUGGCAGUCAGAGGCGAUGAAAGACGUGACAGCCUGCGAAAAGCGUCGGGGAGGCGGCAAUAUCCUGUGAUCCGGCGAUAUCUGAAUGGGGAAACCCACCUACCAUAAGGUAGGUACCCCGCUAUAUUUUAUAGCGGGGGGCAAACCGGGAGAAGUGAAACAUCUCAGUAACCCGAGGAAAAGACAUCAAUAGAGAUUCCCCUAGUAGCGGCGAGCGAACGGGGAGGAGCCGACUGAUUAUAAUUUAGAGGAAUGACUUGGAAAG